CACGAUACACAUAACAUACUCUGCGUCAAUUUAUACUUUCGUUUGAACUAAAUUCUACUAUAAAGCAUCAUUUCACUCCUACGGUGUACACUUUAUAUUGAAACAUUCGCAGAUCGAAGUCUUUUUUGUUUUAUAACCGGUUUGAUUGCUCCACACAGAUUGAAUCUUGUAAUGCGCUUUCCGUGGAAAACCAGAUAUCUGGGAUUGUUGCUUGUGAUCAGUGGCAUGAUUCUAAUUGACGCAACGCAGCCAUGGACGGAUAGUAAAUAUCACCCAGACUUUCCACAGAUACUAAAUAAUAUAGUUUAUAAAGCAUUUCGUAGAACACAGCGAGGCGGUCGUAGAAUGGCAAAUGGACAACUAGAAAGCUUAUUUGGAGCUCUUAGAAGAAAGAAUGGAUACCCACCUGGAACCCCAACUGUACCAAUAUCAAUAUUGAGAUACGUUAGGUAGCUUGUUUGGAGUCCCAUUCCAUAUCCGCCUGCUGUUUCUUUGGCGUGCGAUUAAGCAUAGCUUCUAUAUUGUCAUUUUAUUAUGUUCUUUCUUCAAUUUAAUGCAUAUGAAUAAAGUCAUUAAAGUGAGCCGUUAAUGGUACUUUCUAAUUCAUAAA